rnacentral:lncRNA from 1 species
AGCUUUCUUCCCGCCAGGCCCCCUCCACCCGAUCGCCGCGCGCUCUCCGAACCAAAAGGCGACCUCACGAAAUGCCCCUUUGAGCUCAAAGGCUAGUUACCCCCAGGGGCCCUUCCACUCUCGGGGACAGGCGAAACCUCUUUGUCUCUGCCUCGGCCUGCGGCCCCCAGCCCAGCCUCCGCGCUUUCCCUCCGCCAGUCCUUGUCAAUCAAACCUGGUGCCAAACGCGGCAGCUGAAGUUUUCAGGGACACAUUUGCUUCUCCCCUUGAAGAACCAGUUACAAAGCGUGAUGUCCUCUCUGGGGUCCCAUCAGAACAAAGAAACAGGAAUACCUGAGGCUUGGUGAUUUAUAAAGAAAAGUUUAUUUGGCUCACUAUUCUGCAGGCUGUACAAGAAGCAUGAUGCCAGCAUCUGCUUCUGGUGACAACCUCAAGAAGUUUACAAUUGGCCGCGUGCGGUGGCUCAUGCCUGUAAUGCCAGCACUUCGGGAGGCGGAGACAGAUGGAUCAUUUGAGGUCAGGAGUUCGAGACCAGGCUGGCCAACAUGGUGAAACCCCAUCUCUACUAAAAAUACAAAAAUUAGCUGGGCAUGGUGGCAUGUGUCUGGAAUCCCUGCUACUCAGGAGGCUGAGGCAAGAGGAUCACUUGGAACUUGGGAGGCAGAGGUUGCUGUGAGCUGAGAUCACACCACUGUACUCCAGCCUGGGCAACAGAGUGAUACUCUAUCUCAAAAAAAAAAGAAAGAAAGAAAGAAAAGAAAAAGAAGCUUACAAUCAUGGUGGAAGGCGAAGAGGAGGAGCAGGCAUAUCACAUGGCCAAAAAGGGAGCAAGAGAAAGGUGAGAAAGACACUAGACUCUUUUUAAAACCAGCUCUCACAUGAGCUAAUGGAAUAAGAACUCACUCAUUACCACAAGGACAGAACCCAGCCAUUCAUGAGGGACCUGCCACCAUGACCCAAAAACCUCCUACUUGACCCAACCUCCAACACUGGGGAUAACAUUUCAACAUGAGAUUUGAAGAGGACAAAUACUCAAACUAUAUCACUUGUUGUCCAUUUUUAAUCUUUCUCUAACAUACCCUAACUUCUUCUUGAAAAUGCUUAAUUUUCUCUGUUUUGAGAUGUAAAUUUGCUAUCCUGUUUUUCUUAAAACUUGGUAAGAUCUUCAGCCAUGAAGGACAGACAAACUGUAACCUUUCCAUUUACAAAGCUGCAUUUGAAUUCAACUGUCCUUUUAAACUAAGGAGUUUUACUGGUCUCGUGGCUAAAAUUUUAAAG